rnacentral:rRNA from 1 species
CCUACGGGUGGCAGCAGUAGGGAAUAUUGCUCAAUGGGGGAAACCCUGAAGCAGCAACGCCGCGUGGAGGAUGAAGGUUUUCGGAUUGUAAACUCCUUUUGUUAGAGAAGAUAAUGACGGUAUCUAACGAAUAAGCACCGGCUAACUCCGUGCCAGCAGCCGCGGUAAUACGGAGGGUGCAAGCGUUACUCGGAAUCACUGGGCGUAAGGAGCGCGUAGGCGGGAUAGCAAGUCAGAUGUGAAAUCCUAUGGCUUAACCAUAGAACUGCAUUUGAAACUGUUAUUCUAGAGUAUGGGAGAGGUAGGUGGAAUUCUUGGUGUAGGGGUAAAAUCCGUAGAGAUCAAGAGGAAUACUCAUUGCGAAGGCGACCUGCUAGAACAUAACUGACGCUGAUGCGCGAAAGCGUGGGGAGCGAACAGGAUUAGAUACCCUUGUAGUC